AUAGAUAGAUAGAUAGAUAGAUAGACAGACAGAUCCUGGUGAAUUGGAAUCUAUCAACAAUAUUCAGUUAAUUACUGAAGAUCAAUAUCUCAAAGUGCCACUCCACAUUUGUUCAUUAUCCUUUACCCUUUUCCCUGUCCCACAUACAGUAACAGUUGGGUGCAUGUGACUUUAUAAUGUUAUGCCUUCAGGAAUACAGUUAUAUGCAGGUUCAGAAUUAUCAUUUCACUAAAUAGGAUAUGCACAAAGUCAUAGCAUUUCUACCUAACCUAUAGUAAAUAAUCAAAACUUCUGAUUCCAGAAACAUAAUGUUAAAAGAAAUCUUUUAAACUGCAUUCAUAUGCAUACAUUCAUAAAGGAUUUGCUGUUUGUUAACACAGUAACCAUAGGAUGCCUCUUAAUUUUAUUUAUCUUCAUAUUCCUUCCUCUACUCACGUCUUCACUAAUUAUCACUACUUGUUCCCUCACUUUUCAAGACCCAUACCAUGCAUAUUGAUCUAUUCUAGUUCCCUUUCCUAAGGAGACCUAUCUAUUACUCCUAGUCCCAAACUCUAAACACAAUUUCUCUGCUUCUGUAGGUUGUACAUUGGUUCAUUGAUUUAACAGCUAAUGUCCUCAUAAAAGCAAAUAGAUAAUAUAUUUGUCUUGGUGGUCUGAAAAAUUUCAUUCAGUAUGAUGUUUUCUAGUUCCAUUCAUUUACCUUUGAAUUUCAAUUCUUUUAGGGACUGAAUUUUUCAAAUAUGAAAAUAUAGACAGAAGGUACCAUGCUGUAACCUGUAAUUCCACACUGAGAGAGAUGAACUGGGACUACCCGUCUGAGUACACUUUGGAUUAAACUAGUGAGAAGGAAACCUAGGCUGCAGUUUGGGAGGAUGCAUCACAAAUCACCAAAAGAAGUGAGUUUAAAUGACAUAAAUAAACAAAUAACUACUUUAUCUGAGACAUAAUUAGAGUAAAAUAUUUUUCAGUAACUUUAUAUUUCAUGCUCGAAAAAAAGGACAGUACAAAUCAAAUCAAAUGAUAUUCAUUCUUUUCUAAACCAUUGAGACAUAGGGGCGUUGCUCAGUCUAGGAAGUAUGCCCAGGAUAUGGCAGUUCCUGGGUUGAAACUUCACUGUUCCAGUGAAUGAAAUAAUUUGAUUCACCAGUGAGUUGAAAGAGUAUGUAAAAUGAACUCCAAUUAAAACAGAGUUCUAUCCAGGAAGGCAUCAGAGUAGAAAUAGAGGAUUGACUUACACAAGUUUUCCUCUGACCAAUAGAAAGAAAUUUAUCCUCUGAAGACUUGCUUAGUUAAAUGUUAAUACAUGAAGAUGAAAUAAUAUCAAUCUGUAUCAGUUUUUGAAUUAAUAAUUUUUGAAAAUUGAUUUUUUUCAGACAAUAUAUUCCGCCUCAUUAUUUCAUCCUCCCUGAUUCUUUCCAUCUGGAAAAUGACCUAUUUCCUCAUGUUCUCACCCCACCCCUUGGAAAACAUGAAAAGAAAAAGCUAACCUGACUAAAACAGAACAAACGACCAAUGGAAUCAAAAAUGAUAAAACACAAGAAGCACAUAGACACACAGAGAUACAUACUUACAGAGAAAGUCGAAGAAAAUAUUAAAUUGGGAGUCAGAAUAUAUGGGAAAUUACCAGCAUGGUCAAAAAUAUAAUAUAUUAUGAAUAAAAAAAUUCAAAAUUACCAUUGAUUUAUGUAAGUUAGAAUGAAGUACCUGCUUGAUUGUAGGUUCUAUUCCCAUGAAACUGUACUGGAUGAAAGCACUUUUGAUAUUAGAAAUUAUGUCACAAUGAGAGAACUUCUUAGUGAGGUAGAUCAUAUUCAGAUACAGAUAUUAGUGGUUGGACACCAAAAAAUUUGACCUGCAAAACCUCUGCAGAUCCUUUGCAUGGCUUCCUGAUUUAUAUAAGUAUAUAUGUAUAUCAGUCCUGUUGUGUCUGGACAUUAUUGAUCACUUAAUUGCAUUCAUCCCAGUACCACUGUGCCUUACAAUAUUCCUACCAUGACUUCUAAAAAUCUUUCCUGAGCCAUGAAGGAAGAGAUUAGCUGGUAAUGACUCAUUUAUGAGAGUAUGAUCCAAGGUCUUUCACUUUGUAUAUUGUGCAGAUAUAGUUCUCUGUAAUUGGCCCCAUCUAUUAUAUAUGCUAGCUUCUGUGAUGACAAUAGAGCAAUAUAAUGAUAUAUGGGCAUAACGGAAUAUUAUUAGGAAUCAUUUUGCAUCUACAUUUGCACAGCAGACAAUAAUACCUGCUUUAAACCUUAAACCCCAGUAUAUUGUCAUGAGAACAAUGGAAGAAAUGUGUUCUAUCUCACUCUGUAUGUCUGAAAUCCAGUCAUAUAGUGGUUGCUUACUUCCUUGAAGGUGCCAAGAUUGCAGCAUUGUAUCCUGUAGGCAGCUGAGUGUGGUAGGUCAAAUAGUAAAGUUUUCCCUCAAUAACCCUGCCAAACACAUUUCUGUACCAGCAACAGUAUUCAAAAAGUAAAUGUUUUAGUGAGGCACCUGUUUGUCUUCUCUAUGUUCAAAAGAAAUGUAGGUGUUGUCUUCAACAAUAGAGCCAUCAUCAGCCUUAUGCAGCAAUCAGUAGCUUAGGCAAUAGCUUGAAGUGAUUGGAGUAUUACAAUGAGGACACAUUGGCCAAAAAUAUAGUAGAUAUAGCCAAUACAUGGGGUCGGAGAUUUCAUUUCGUGGGAAGAGAUGUCUAGUUCUAUCAUUCUCUCCCAUUUUUUAAUAUCCUUUAUUUGUUAUUUAUGUUAUAUAUUAAGAACUGAUCUGACUCCUACAUAUAGCUGUCCUCCUUAGUAUUACACUCUAUCCUUUCCAUUCCCCCAUCUCCAUUUAUUUGCUACAUUCCAAUGUAUCCCCCAAAUAUGCCCCAUCAUUUUUUAUAUAGUUUCUCUACACUCAUAAAAUCCUUUCUUCCUGCCUAAUUCUUGUAUGCCAUUGUCAGGGCUUAAAAUAUCAAAAUAUAAGCAGAUACAUUCUGUAUUUAUCUUUGAGGUUCUGGAUAACUCACAAUGAGGUGGUUGUUAUUGUUGUUGUUGAUGAUGAUGAUGUUGCUCAGACCCUUUCAAAUAUACCAGAAAAUAGUAAGUGGAUCACAGGCAAUAAGAUGUUGAGGUAUUAACACCAUUGUGGUUUGAUUUUGCUCUGUUCACAUAAUUGAUUGCUUCUUCUCUCUGGAGGUAAGAAAGUACAUUUUUAAAAGAGCCCCCUUUUCAAAAUGAGAUGUUAGAGUUUUAUAGAGAAUUUGGAUUGUGAAAGACUUGAAAAUGGAAAUGCUAUUGGGUUUUUAAUUCCAAGGACAGAUAUGUUUGAUAUUCAACCUUUGGUAAAAUAUUUGCCUAACAUAAACAGAUUUGAAUUUGACCUUCAUCACAAAUGCAGAUAUACUAUACACACAAGAAACAACAGCAGCCAGGAGGUAGGGACAGAAUAAUAUGAUGCUGAAGGUCAUCCUAACCAUUAAUCAGAAGAGCGGGAAAUCAUUUUAGAGAAAAAGUGAUAUAUGCUUUAUGUGCUUGUAUGCUAAAAAUAUGUAACUAUAUUUUGAUUUUACAGGGGUAACAUUGAAAGUAUUGACUUGAGGCUCAGCGACACUUUAAGGUUUUAAACAGGGUUCAUUCUAUGAAAAAUAAUGGGGUCUUUUAAAUUUGUAUAGUAUACUUUUAUUAUAAAUUGACUGUAAGUCUGUGGUGACAAAGAGUAGAAUGCAGUGGUUUCAAUGAGAUGUCGACGAUUAGUUUCUAAUUUUUAAACAGUUGACUCCUAGUUGAUGAUUGUUUGUGGAAGGUUUUGAGAGAAGACUCUCUGCUUCUUCUCUGAGGUUUGAGAUAUAAACUCCUAAUUCAGCAACAUGCUGCUUAUCACUAGAAAUACAGAAAGAGAAGAAAUAAUUUUUGCUACUAUACUACAAUUUGAAUUUUAUUAAUAUAUUUUUGUUUUUGUUACAAAUUCUAAAAUGUAAUUCUGGCUGUAAGUAUACUCAUAGUAGACUCUCGUCCUAUGACUCUAAAUUGUUAGAUAUAAGGGCAUGUGCCAACAUGACUGGACUUUUUCACAAAACAAAAAAAUCUAAAAAUAAUUAAUGAUCAAAGUCAAAUUCACAUUUACAAAUCAAAUUAAAGCAUUCAAGAUAUAUUGACUUACAUAUUAAUCAUAUCAUUUAAGAAAUAGAAGCAAAAUAUUUACUUCAUAUUUUUGCCCAACUUACUCUACAGAAUGUGACACUGUCUCACAAAUUCCAAAAAUUAAACAGAAUAUGAACAAAACUAGAAAUAAAAUAAAGGAGAAAAGGAGGAGGAAUCAGAGGAGAAAAAGGAGGAAGAGGAUAAAAGGAGGACUCCACUAAUCAGAGAAAACGAAAAGCUCAUAAAAUGAAGUACGAAUAAAUUUUCCAAUCCAUGAACACUAUCUGGAAGGGGUGAAUACUCCAGUUAGUCACCAACUUAACUUCUUCAUGUUCAAUGCGAUAGCUCCAUGUCUGCCUUAAAACUUCUAUGCUUCUACCUUGAAGAUAAUAGACUGAACCUGUGAACCUAUUAGGGUGAGCCCUGGCAGCAGGCAAGAAAAUGACCUCAUCUCUCAUAGUGGCCAUUGUACCGUAAUCCAGGUAGAGACACUUGUCGUUCUGACAUCAUCUUGGAGAUCUUGUGCCAGGUAUCUGUGAGGAUUUGGAGGUCUCUAUCUGUCCUAGUAAUCUUAAACAUUUCAUGUUAUAAAAAGCAGAUUUCUGACACGAUUGAGAGGAUCUGUUACAUAUAUAUGAAUUAGACAAUCUAUGUCUGUUUUUAAUUAUUGGUUCUGACUAGUAUCAAGGAAGCACAGAGAUUAUGACUUAAUGUUUUGAGUAAUAACAGCAUAAAAACAUUGGCUAAACAGAUAUUUAAGGCAGUGAUCAUAUUUACUGUUGUAAAUCUUUAAAUGAGUAUUAAAAUUAUUUACCACAGCUAGACAGAAAUAGUAUGAAACCUUUAUCUUUAUUGUUAAGUGUCCAUGGCAUCUUUAAUUCAGGCCGUUCUCGUAAUGAGAGAUGUCAUGUGAGGAAUACACAUAACAAAGAUGGCAAAAAGUCAUGGGUUGCCUUCAUCCAAGAUGGUGCUGUAGCUAUAGCUCCACUGGUGUUUGUUAUAUCUCUGAGCUGAAUGACAGUUUCCUGUAGAAGCAUGGCUAUGUAUCAGCAGAGGAAAACGUGCAAAGAUACAAAUAGACAUGUUCUGCUGGUGGCCAGGUCAUUAUUUUUUAAUGUUAGGAGAUUUCCUCCCUGUCACUUCAAGCAGCCUCUGCGACUGUGCGGUUCCAAGCAGCAUGAUCUAAGCAGUGCAGUCUAAAUGGUGGUGUGGCACAUCUGAGGCAGGCCCAUGGAGCAUCUCUGCUCCUCCUUCUCACGACAGAGCUGGCUUAGAGCUAGGGUAUAUCAGAAUGGAAAGAAAUAAGAAGUAAAAAAUUCCAAGGAGGCAGAAAUUUAAGACUUUCUGCUAAACCAAAUAGCUGUCAACAGCAGUGAAACAAGACCUGGAGAGAUAAAGGUUCAGGGAGCAGAGAGCAAGGUAGUUGGAUCAAGGAAUAAAGUGGUUGGGAGGGAAGGUGGGCAAAAUCCUAUACAUAGAACCCUUCCAUUUUUCACAUUGCUGGUGAGCGUUGUAAAAGUUUUUUCAAUGUGCGGUUAAGAGGCCAUUUAGAGUUAUUAUCUUUCAGGUAUUGGAAACAAAUUUGGAAGCCUUUAAGACCAGGAGACAUCCCAAUACAGAGGUUAAAAAUAGCAAUGAAGCCAUUAUCUUUGAGUGAGAAUAGGAGUUAUUAACCUUAUUACUUCCAGAAACCCAAUGAUAAGUUAAUAAUUAAGAAUGGAAUGGUCAACUAGUGCAGUUUGUCAGGACAGUAGGAGAUAAACUAGGGGUUGAGCUAUGACCAACACCUGAGUUGUGGAGCCAGUGCCAAAGGUAGAAUGAUUUACCUAGGCCUAGUAUUUUUUAUCAGUGAGAGAGAAACCAUCAUAGGAAGAGAAAUAGAACUCACACAAGGGUAGAGGUCCUAAGAGGAGGAGUCAGCUAGAAAGGCCAAUAUUGUAGGCUAUGAAUACCUCUGCUGCCAAGGAAACUAGAGGGGGUGGAUGUGAGCUGAAUAGAGACCAGUGGCCUUUUAUCCUGACUAAUGUGUGAGUGGUGGGAGGACUUCUUUUGUGAGUGGUGGGAGGUCGUCUUUCCAACUUGCCCCUGUUUGGGAAGAAAGGAAUAUCAAGAAAAUGGCUGGAAAGUGUGUGAGGUGGCAGGAAAUGUGAACCUGCCAGUUUGCAAAACGAAAUUAGUACACCAAAUGCUGUGUUUUAUAAAUCCAAGGAUAUAUUUUUAUGGAACACAGUUUUGUGUGAUGGGAUUUCUCAGCAGACCCAUGCAGAGGCAUCCAUUCCUCCAAGGUAAGAGCCAUAAGAUGGGUCUAGUGUAGAAUAGAGUUGUUUAGGGUCAUGGGAAGUGUAGGUAAGAAAACAGUAGAGACAAAGAAGAGGGUGGAGAUAAGGGGAGGAGGAGGCUAGUCAGGAAUACAUCUAGGAAGGGGAGAUGUAGUAAUGGAGUGAGAGGAGAAAGUCAGGAAGAAAAAAAGGCAUAGAGAGAGUCUAAACACUCCCUUUUAUAUCUAGCCAGGCCUACCUGGCAGUAUGUAGGUAACGAUUGGGUAGGACCUAGAAGAAAUGCUAAGGUGCAAACACAUUUACUAAUUCCUUAUUUAUUUCCUAUGUAGUCUUUAACUUGCAGAAAGGAUAUUGCUAUGUCAUAUUUUUAUUUACUGGAAAAUUAUUGUGUAGGAACAUUUAAAAUCAGAAGCCUUUCUACAUUUUUAUUCUCAUAUUCAGCAGACAUUUAUAUCACCAAGGAUUAAAUGUGCAUAGAAGAGACUGAGUGAUGUUUCUGCUUAUGAAAACAAGGAGUGCUUUACAAGAUUUCCAAGAAAUUAUACCAGGAAUUUUGAAACUACAUGGAACUGCAUUUCUGAAGAAAUACACAGACUUUGGCAUCAAUAUACUUCUACAUUGUGUUCCCGAACAAACACACACAUGCACACACACAGAGA
rnacentral:sRNA from 1 species